CACCACAUCAUAUGUAGUUUAAGAAGGCAGGACUGCAGGUAGCGAUUCAGCAGGACAUGCACAGGUCCAGAAUUCUCUGUAGAGAGGAGCAGGUCGACGCAGUUGAUAAGGAAGCCAUUUGUCACAAGCCUGAUCAAAAGAUGGCUUUUGACCAAAUAAAAAACAUAUCAAAAGAUGUUUAGUGUGUUUUAUUAUAUAUUUAUUUUCGUUUUUGUAAGAUGAUAGUUAUACUCUUUUCAAAGCUACGGUGGAGACUACAUAUCAGGGACAAGGUCUGAUGCGUUAAAAUAAUUAAGCAAGUACAAAGCAAAUCAUUUUAUUAAAUUAAGGCACAUUGCAGAUAUGAAUUAAGGCAUAUUGUUAUCCAUACUUAACCAUUUAAUACAAAUAUUACGGAGUUAUUGAUCGAAUAAAACUUUGAGCGCAUUGUUACUUGAGCUAUAAAAUUGCUGCACGAUAAAUCAUCUAACUAUAACCACAAUUCAUGAAUUAGGCCAUAUUCGUAAUUAACCAUUUAAUACAAGUGAUAUUAUGGAGUUAAUAAUCGGAUACAUGAUCUCCCGUGCAUGGUUAUUUGACCUAUACAAUUUUUACAAUAUAAAUCAUCUAACUAUGACCUUAAACUUGAGCACUUAUUUUAAAAUGAGUAAGUCUUUGUUUGCGAUUUUAGGUCACCCAAAUAGUGAUAAAAAAAACCUCAUACGCCAGCGAAGGGCUUACGUAUGCGUACAUAUAGGCUAGUUUAACUAAUAAUUAAGGGGAAAACCAUAUUCAACCAAACAAAGAUUGAGAAUGGCGGGCAGAUGAUAAUCUUUACGGUCUAGAGAUGUGAUCGGUAUAGAGAAUCUUGGAAAGACAAGUAGGAAUAGCUCAUAGAUAUAUAUAUAUAUAUAUAUACACACACACACAUACAUAAACAUAUGUAUAUAUAUACAAGUCUUUUGGGCCCACUUCACAUCUAACUUCAACGAUCCGAACUGUUUAUUUUGUAAAUCUCAAUUCAUAGAUUAUUCUUGCAAAAAUUCAAUUUAAUCCGAAACCAUUUGCAUAUUUAAUUAUCACUAUGUAAUUUCAUUGUUUCUUAUAGAACAUAGUGUUCAUCAAUUUCUUUGAACUCAACAAGAUGUCUCAAAUAUUUCCGAUUUGACUAAUAUUUUGCAAGGAUGAUUAAUGAGGUCCAACUUGAAAAAUAGACGAUUUAGAUUGUUGAAGUUCGAUUGUGAUAUGGUCCCCACAACCAAUGGCGUAUGCAUUGAGGGGCUGGGCAGGUCAGCUGACCCCCGAACUUCGGUGAAUGUCCAUGGAUACCUUGGGUGCUGCCCUUUUGAAGAUUAGAGUUAGCUUCAUACAUGCCCUCCAAUUGACUUUAGGCCUACCAAGACUCGAUGAAUGUCCAUGGAUACCUUGGGUGCUG
rnacentral:lncRNA from 1 species